AUUGAACGCUGGCGGCAGGCCUAACACAUGCAAGUCGAACGGUAACAGGAAGAAGCUUGCUUCUUUGCUGACGAGUGGCGGACGGGUGAGUAAUGUCUGGGAAACUGCCUGAUGGAGGGGGAUAACUACUGGAAACGGUAGCUAAUACCGCAUAACGUCGCAAGACCAAAAAGGGGGACCUUCGGGCCUCUUGCCAUCGGAUGUGCCCAGAUGGGAUUAGCUAGUAGGUGGGGUAACGGCUCACCUAGGCGACGAUCCCUAGCUGGUCUGAGAGGAUGACCAGCCACACUGGAACUGAGACACGGUCCAGACUCCUACGGGAGGCAGCAGUGGGGAAUAUUGCACAAUGGGCGCAAGCCUGAUGCAGCCAUGCCGCGUGUAUGAAGAAGGCCUUCGGGUUGUAAAGUACUUUCAGCGGGGAGGAAGGGAGUAAAGUUAAUACCUUGGCUCAUUGACGUUACCCGCAGAAGAAGCACCGACUAACUCCGUG
rnacentral:rRNA from 1 species